CAAAAAUGCUUAAAACCAGUUUCUUGCCAUGAGUGUCCCCCAUAUCUACCUAUGAAUUGCAUAAGAUCCUUCAAGUAAGUUGUCAUCGGUGCAAAAAGCAAUAAAAAUUGCUCCUAAAAUAUGUAUGAUCUUUUAUUGCAAGGGAAAAUAAGCGUUGUAUUCGCUCCGUCCGAGAAAACUUGUCACCAGUGUAGUGUACUGCUAAUUUUGCAAAACACCCUCGUAGCUUUAAAUCUAUUACAAACAGGUGGCCGUCUCCUUCCUCCUGCCCGUCGCCCGUGCGCGUCGCUAGGGUCAGUCGUCGCCCAGGGCUUGCUCCUCCGCCUUCCAGGACAUGCGUUACCCAAUUGAUUACUCCACCGCCGCCCCAGGAUAUGCUCCUCCGCCGCCAGGUCCUGCGCCGCCCAAUUGCUUGCGCCACCGCCGCCCAAUUGCUUCCUCCACCGUCGCCUAGGACGUGCUCCUCUGCUACCCAGGACCUGUGCUAUCACCGCCAGCCCUGCACUGCCGAUAUCCCCUCCCGCCACCCAUGACCUGCACCGUUGCCGCCCAGGACCUGCCCGCGUCGGGGUCUCGAGCGCCUGGACUGCGAGCUCCCGCUGCGCCUGGACCUCGAGCUCCUUCAAGCUCUCUCGCGGGCCUAGAAGUCAAGCUCGAGCUCCAUUUGCUGCUCCUCUAGAACUUGCUGCCGUUCGGAGCUCCCCUGCUCGUGCUGCCGUUCGGAGCUCCCCUACUCGUGUGCUGUCACCGGAGGUCCCCUUCUCGUGCUGCCGCUGGUGAGAACAAGUACAUGGCUCCUUACUUGUUCAUCUCCAGUACCUUGCUCCCAGUAACACCUCUGCAAGCACCACGAGAAGAAGUACAGGGCUGCCGGUGAGAAAAUGUGCAAAGUAAAAUUGACGAAUUCAGUUAACUAUUAAUUUGGAAAAAAAAUCAGUGUAUGUGCUGAGUAAUUGAAGUGUUCAGUGAUCAAAAUUAUUGGCUAAGCAGAAGUUAAAUGUGAGUAGUUUGAUGUUGAUCCUCCUCCUACAUUACAAGUUCAUGUGAAUAGUUAGAUGUUGGAAAGAAUAUUCAGUUAACUGUUAAUUUGGAAAAAUUCAGUUAAAUGUGAGUAGUUUGAUAUAGAUCCUCCUCCUACGUUCCAUGUUCAGGUCAUUCCAUGAACAUGCAAAUUAUUGGCCGACAGAAUUUGCAAAAAAGAGGCAGUUAUCUAAUUUUUGCCCAGCAUAAUCUGCAAAAUUUAGUUAACUCUUUAGCGAAGGCUUAAGAUACAACCUGAAGAGUUUGGCCACGACAAUAUGCAAAAUUCAGUUAACUCUUUAGCUAAUGUUAAUUCAGUUAACUUUUGGCCAUGACAACCAGAAGCAAUACACAAGGCUUAAGAUACCCGAAGAAAACAACGACAUUCUUACGUACUUUAGGUACCACUAUGUUUAGUCAUAGCUCUUCUAUUUUACUCUUUUCUUACCUGAGCAGUGGCAUAUGGCAUUGCAGAAUACUCCUAUAUUUAGUAGAAAACUGUUCUCUCGAUUGAAACAAUUGGCUGAACGGUUGCAUAGUUAGUUGAAAGCAUUUUAUUCACAUAAUCCUAAAUUUUCUAGACAAGAGAUAACCUUGAUUAUCAGAAGAAGAAAAUAACCUUGAUUUAGGGCAGAGGAAGGUACUGUUGCUAUCAAUUCACAAUAACCCGUGUUUGUUUUGCUGCUAACCUUAGCUUAGCUUAACUGAAUCUGGAAAGAUUGGCAAAGUGUUCCUCCUAACAGAUUUUGGCCGACCUAUUUCUGCAUCUGUCUUUAUGCUGAGCUUGAGUGUGAGCAGCAGCACAGCCAAGUGCUCAACAAAAUGUUGUUUACAUAAAAACAAGGGAGAUUAGUGUACUCAUGCUACCAAAGUGAAGGCAGUUUUUUUGCGUUCUCUUAGAUGGAGACGAGCAAGUGCUGUUGGACUUAUCUGGAAUGUGAAUGUGGCAAAAACUAACCACUGGACAUUCUACUAGAAUGGAGUAUGCAUGGUUUCAAAAAAAAGAACAUAUGAACUGUAUGCAAAGCGUUAUGACUGAAAUUGGAAAAUCAGUUAGCAAAGUGUACGAAUAUUACUACAAGCACAAGCAGUACAAAUAUUAAUAGAAUUUGCUCUGAAUUUUGAUAGUAAGAAUAAGAAUUUUCUCUGAAAAUCUAUUGUAUACACUCUCUACAAUACAGUGUCCAGAAUCAUUGAAAUAAUUCAGAUAAACAAAGCACUGUCUAUUUGUUCUGAAUUUUAGACAUAGUGGUGAUCAUACUUAUUCUGUUCAAAUUGGAAUAUUGGCUAAAAUAAACUCUUAAUUUUAAUUAUUUUGAAUAAUUUGAUUACCAUGGAAACCUACCCUUUGGCAUCUCUCAUCCUUUGGUGACAACCACUGCUCUAAAUGCUUCAACUGAAGGCUCUGACUGAAACCCAGCCAAAGGAGAAGGAAAGUCUGUACAGAUUCAGUCUGUACCUCGACGCCACAUCAGGUGGGAGAGGAACAACUUACCAAGACAUAGUCCACUGAAGAAGCCUUGCCGGCGAAUGCAAUCCCCCUCCUCCUCCUUCGUGGACAGGCGCAUGGCCAAGGCGGCGAACGACAUGUAGGCCCACGAUGCAGCGGCCCACUCGCACCUGAGGUCGCGCAGGCACAUCGAGUCACUGCUGCCGGUCCUCGCGCCUCCUCUAGUGGCGGGGGCGACGACGAGGACGUGUCGUUGCCGCACGUGAGCAGGAGGCAUGGUGGGAGGAGAAGAAAUGAUUUUUGUGGUGAAAGAGGGGAGAUUCGGGAGGGAGGCAAGGGUGCAGGGGAGCUGUGCGAGGCAGGAGGG
rnacentral:lncRNA from 1 species